rnacentral:rRNA from 1 species
CGAGUGGCGGACGGCUGAGUAACGCGUGGGAACGUGCCCCAAAGUGAGGGAUAAGCAUCGGAAACGAUGUCUAAUACCGCAUAUGGUCUUCGGAUUAAAGGAUUUAUCCGCUUUGGGAGCGGCCCGCGUCGGAUUAGGUAGUUGGUAGGGUAAUGGCCUACCAAGCCUACGAUCCGUAGCUGGUCUGAGAGGAUGAUCCGCCACACUGGUACUGAGACACGGACCAGACUCC